rnacentral:rRNA from 1 species
AAUUUGGAGAGGGCAACUUUGGGGCCGUUCCUUGUCUAUGUUCCUUGGAACAGGACGUCAUAGAGGGUGAGAAUCCCGUGUGGCGAGGAGUGCGGUUCUUUGUAAAGUGCCUUCGAAGAGUCGAGUUGUUUGGGAAUGCAGCUCUAAGUGGGUGGUAAAUUCCAUCUAAAGCUAAAUAUUGGCGAGAGACCGAUAGCGAACAAGUACAGUGAUGGAAAGAUGAAAAGAACUUUGAAAAGAGAGUGAAAAAGUACGUGAAAUUGUUGAAAGGGAAGGGCAUUUGAUCAGACAUGGUGUUUUGUGCCCUCUGCUCCUUGUGGGUAGGGGAAUCUCGCAUUUCACUGGGCCAGCAUCAGUUUUGGUGGCAGGAUAAAUCCAUAGGAAUGUAGCUUGCCUCGGUAAGUAUUAUAGCCUGUGGGAAUACUGCCAGC